AGUCAAUCAGCGGCAGAGCUGAGAAGGGCACAGCCGCACAGCCGAGGGCAGAGUGAGCCGAGCCAACUCGAGCCAGGCGAGCGGACCAGCGCCGGCUCCACUCGCUAGCUCCGGACUCCGCACCCCUUGGGCCGCUUCCGAAGCGCAGCUUCCCGUCCCAUCCCAAAGGUGGGAGCGCAUCAGCCCCGGCCGGCACGAUGGCACGGUUCGGCUUGCCAGCGCUUCUCUGCACCCUGGCCGUGCUCAGCGCCGUGCUCCUGGCUGCCGAGCUCAAGUCGAAAAGUUGCUCGGAAGUGCAACGUCUCUACGUGUCCAAAGGCUUCAACAAGAACGAUGCUCCUCUCCACGAGAUCAACGGUGAUCAUUUGAAGAUCUGUCCACAAGGUUAUACCUGCUGCUCUCAAGAGAUGGAGGAGAAAUACAGUCUACAAAGUAAAGAUGAUUUCAAAAAUGUGGUCAGCGAACAGUGCAAUAAUUUGCAAGCUGUCUUUGCUUCACGUUACAAGAAGUUUGAUGAAUUCUUCAAAGAACUACUUGAAAAUGCAGAGAAAUCCCUGAAUGAUAUGUUUGUGAAGACAUAUGGCCAUUUAUACAUGCAAAAUUCGGAGUUAUUUAAAGAUCUCUUCGUAGAGUUGAAGCGCUACUACGUGGUGGGAAAUGUGAACCUGGAAGAAAUGCUAAAUGACUUCUGGGCACGCCUUCUGGAACGGAUGUUCCGCCUGGUGAACUCCCAGUACCACUUUACAGAUGAGUAUCUGGAAUGUGUGAGCAAGUAUACCGAGCAGCUGAAGCCCUUU